rnacentral:rRNA from 1 species
UACGAAGGGGGCUAGCGUUGUUCGGAAUCACUGGGCGUAAAGCGCACGUAGGCGGAUCUUUAAGUCAGGGGUGAAGUCCCGAGGCUCAACCUCGGAACUGCCUUUGAUACUGGGGAUCUCGAGUCCGGGAGAGGUGAGUGGAACUGCGAGUGUAGAGGUGAAAUUCGUAGAUAUUCGCAAGAACACCAGUGGCGAAGGCGGCUCACUGGCCCGGAACUGACGCUGAGGUGCGAAAGCGUGGGGAGCAAACAGG